rnacentral:rRNA from 1 species
UAACGAAUAUUCCGCAAUGCGCGAAAGCGUGACGGAGCAAUGCCGCGUGUGGGAUGAGGCAUCUAGGUGUGUAAACCACUGUCAGGGUUUAGGAAUUUUGACCAGACCCAAAGGAAGAGCCGGCUAACUCUGUGCCAGCAGCCGCGGUAAUACAGAGGGCUCAAGCGUUAAUCGGAAUCACUGGGCUUAAAGGGUCCGCAGGCGGAUUGGAAAGUAUCUUGUGAAAUACCACGGCUCAACCGUGGAAUUGCUCGGUAAACUUCCAAUCUUGAACACGGUAGGGGCCAUCGGAACUCUAGGUGGAGCGGUGAAAUGCGUAGAUAUCUAGAGGAACGCCAGAGGCGAAGGCGGAUGGCUGGGCCGUUGUUGACGCUCAGGGACGAAAGCAUGGGUAGCGAACGGGAUUAGAUACCCCCGUAGUCC